AAAAAAAAAAACUGCCUAGAGAGAUUAGGUUGGGUUUGAUAUGGUAUUGAUGGUAAUUACACAAGCCUAUAAGAAGCCCGGUAGGCUUCUUAGCAGCAGAUGCUUUCGAUGAUAACUAGUUCAGGUAUAUAGACUUGCAGCUAGGCUGUCAACAGGGAUGCAGAUUGCGUGCGGAGUUACUCAAUGAGCCCACCGUUAUGCCUUCUUGACUUAUCAUGAAGUAUGUAACAUACAAGGGUGACUCUUUGUGCAUGCAUGUACACCCCGCAGAUUUUUUAAAAGGCUUUUGCAAGCUUGAAAUUUUAAACGCUCAAAGAGGACUGUUGUGAUAAGAGCAUCUGAUGAUUUUGGGCCAAGAGUCCCAGUGUCACAUACAAUCCAUAUUGCAUCUGUUGCCUACAACACCUUUUUCCUUGGAGAAUUCAUGCAGCCUGAUUGGGAUAUGUUUCAUAGCGUUCACCCGAUGGCUGAAUACCAUGGAGCAGCUCGUGCAGUUGGAGGAAAUUUUGCAUAAAGCUAUGUUUAUGAUGUAGCAAAACGAGACACAUUUACAAAUCUUGCGGAUAUAAGGGCUAAGGAAAUCGAUCUCUACUCAACUAAUCAAGAUGCUUGAUGGAAACAAAGUUGAUAAGGUAAUUCCUACAAAGGUUUACAACAACUAUACCUCCAUUCUCAGAGGACUUUUCAAUGCAGGGUGGCCUCAGAACUUCUAUGCUGAAAGUGGAAGGGUUGUCACGAAGAAAGAGGGAAUUGAUUUUGCUCGGGAGUAUGGAUGUCUUUUCCUUGAACGUAGUGCAAAAACUCGAAUUAAUGUACAACAGUGUUUUGAAGAGCUUGUUUUAAAGGUGCACGCUCUGUCAACAUUUAUUUUUAUUUUAUUUCAGGAUGAUCAUGUGGACAUGGAAAAAGUUGUCCUUGGCAUUUGUGAUGGAAGAGUGGUCUGACGGAUCGAUUUCCGUCAGAAAAACCGCAUAAAACAGAUAGCCCACUUGUUUCAACUCAUAGUAGAAACCGAGUAGAAAUGAGUGGAGUCAGUUAUUUCAGGCCGUUCAGCAGGAAAUAGAGAGCCUAGUACUUGGCUUGUCAUUACUGCAGCAUAUAUAUCAGUUUUUAUUUAUUCAAUCAA